rnacentral:rRNA from 1 species
GUCGUAACAAGGUUUCCGUAGGUGAACCUGCGGAAGGAUCAUUAUAGAAUAAACCUGGUGGGCUGUAGCUGGCUCUUAGGAGCAUGUGCACGCUCACCUUGCUUAUCCAUCCACCUGUGCACAAUCUGUAGUCUUGAGGAGGAAUGAACAUGGGCAACUGUGAGCACAAAUCCUCAAGGUCUAUGUAUUUUCAUACACCCCAUAGCAUGUCGUAGAAUGUAUUCAAUGGGCCUUUGUGCCUAUAUAAACACUAUACAACUUUCAGCAACGGAUCUCUUGGCUCUCGCAUCGAUGAAGAACGCAGCGAAAUGCGAUAAGUAAUGUGAAUUGCAGAAUUCAGUGAAUCAUCGAAUCUUUGAACGCACCUUGCGCUCCUUGGUAUUCCGAGGAGCAUGCCUGUUUGAGUGUCAUUAAAUUCUCAACCCAUCUGGCUUUUGAUAGUCAGUAUGUGGCUUGGAUGUGGGGGUUUUUGCAGGCUUUGAAUAAAGGUCUGCUCCCCUGAAAUGCAUUAGCGGAACGGUUUGCGAUCUGUCACUGGUGUGAUAAUUAUCUACGCCAAAGAUUAUGAACGCUCUCUGUCUGUUCAGCUCAUAACAGUCCCUUUAAUGUGGACAACUUUUGAUUGUUUGACCUCAAAUCAGGUAGGACUACCCGCUGAACUUAAGCAUA